ensembl:snRNA RNVU1-6 RNA, variant U1 small nuclear 6
AUACUUACCUGGCAGGAGAGAUACCCUGGUCACGAAGGUGGUUUUUCCAGAGCGAGUCUUAUCCAUUGCACUCCGGAUCUGCUGACCCCUGCAGUUUCCCCAAAUGUGGGAAACUUGACUGUAUAAUUUGUGGCAGUGGUAGACUGCAUUCGCGCUUUCCCCUG